rnacentral:rRNA from 1 species
UUUAAAGAAAGCGUAAUAGCUCACUGGUCGAGUCGGCCUGCGCGGAAGAUGUAACGGGGCUAAACCAUGCACCGAAGCUGCGGCAGCGACGCUUAUGCGUUGUUGGGUAGGGGAGCGUUCUGUAAGCCGUUGAAGGUGUCCUGUGAGGGGUGCUGGAGGUAUCAGAAGUGCGAAUGCUGACAUAAGUAACGAUAAAGCGGGUGAAAAGCCCGCUCGCCGGAAGACCAAGGGUUCCUGUCCAACGU